rnacentral:rRNA from 1 species
CAUGUGGGCGAGUUGCAGCCCACAAUCCGAACUAAGGAUGGGUUUAGGAGAUUGCCUUCACCUUUCGGUGUCGAUACCCAUUGUCCCACCCAUUGUAGCCCGCGUGUAGCCCAGAUAAUUCGGGGCAUGCUGACCUACCGUUGCCCAUUCCUUCCUCCUCUUUAGCAGAGGCGGUCCCAACAGUGUCCCCACCAUCCCGGAGGACGAGCUGGCAACUGUUGGCGUGGGUCUCGCUCGUUGCCUGACUUAACAGGAUGCUUCACAGUACGAACUGACGACGGCCAUGCACCUCCUCUCAGCUAGUCAAGUAGAGUCUUCAGCCCGACUAUCAUUCAGCUGUCUUAUCUGGUGAGUUUCCCGGCGUUGAGUCCGAUUAAACCGCAGGCUCCACCUGUUGUGGUGCUCCCCCGCCAAUUCCUUUAAGUUUCAGCCUUGCGACCGUACUUCCCAGGCGGUACGUUUCACGAUUUCUCUUCGGCACCUCGGUGACUCGUGGUCACCGAUACACCUAACGCACAUCGUUUACGGCUGGGACUACCCGGGUAUCUAAUCC